UGGACUAUGAAAAGGCCUUUGAUUCUGUC
rnacentral:sRNA from 1 species